rnacentral:rRNA from 1 species
UACGUAGGGGGCUAGCGUUGUCCGGAAUCAUUGGGCGUAAAGAGCGUGUAGGCGGCUUGGUAAGUCCGCUGUGAAAGUCCAGGGCUCAACCCUGGAAUGCCAGUGGAUACUGUCAAGCUAGAGUCCGGAAGAGGCGAGUGGAAUUCCUGGUGUAGCGGUGAAAUGCGCAGAUAUCAGGAGGAACCCCAAUGGCGAAGGCAGCUCGCUGGGACGGUACUGACGCUGAGACGCGAAAGCGUGGGGAGCAAACAGG